AGAGUUUGAUCCUGGCUCAGGAUGAACGCUAGCGACAGGCUUAACACAUGCAAGUCGAGGGGCAGCGGGGAUGAAGCUUGCUUCAUCCGCCGGCGACCGGCGCACGGGUGAGUAACACGUAUGCAACCUGCCCCUGGCUGGGGGAUAAGCCGGAGAAAUCCGGUCUAAUACCGCGUAACAUCCUUGCGGGACAUCCCGUUAGGAUCAAAGGAAGCGAUUCCGGCCAGGGAUGGGCAUGCGGCGCAUUAGCUAGUCGGCGGGGUAACGGCCCACCGAGGCGACGAUGCGUAGGGGUUCUGAGAGGAAGGUCCCCCACACUGGUACUGAGACACGGACCAGACUCCUACGGGAGGCAGCAGUGAGGAAUAUUGGUCAAAGGGCGCGAGCCUGAACCAGCCAAGUCGCGUGAGGGAAGACGGUCCUAUGGAUUGUAAACCUCUUUUGCCGGGGAGCAAGCUGUGUCACGUGUGACACAGCUGAGAGUACCCGGGGAAAAAGCAUCGGCUAACUCCGUGCCAGCAGCCGCGGUAAUACGGAGGAUGCGAGCGUUAUCCGGAUUUAUUGGGUUUAAAGGGUGCGUAGGCGGACUGUCAAGUCAGCGGUAAAAUUGAGAGGCUCAACCUCUUCCCGCCGUUGAAACUGGUGGUCUUGAGUGGAUGAGAAGUACGCGGAAUGCGUGGUGUAGCGGUGAAAUGCAUAGAUAUCACGCAGAACUCCGAUUGCGAAGGCAGCGUACCGGCAUCCAACUGACGCUGAGGCACGAAAGCGUGGGGACCAAAUAGGAUUAGAUACCCUGGUAGUCCACGCAGUAAACGAUGAAUGCUAGGUGUCCGGGUCGAGUGAGACCUGGGUGCCACAGCGAAAGCAUUAAGCAUUCCACUUGGGGAGUACGCAGGCAACGGUGAAAACUCAAAGGAAUUAACGGGGGCCCGCACAAGCGGAGGAACAUGUGGUUUAAUUCGAUGAUACGCGAGGAACCUUACCCGGGCUCAAACGUUGGAGGACGGAGAGUGAAAGCUUUCUUUCUCACGGGACUUCGGAUGAGGUGCUGCAUGGUUGUUGUCAGCUCGUGCCGUGAGGUGUGGUCUUAAGUGCCAUAACGAGCGCAACCCCCAUCCCCAGUUGUUAACAGGUCAGGGUGUGGACUCUGGGGAGACUGCUGGCGCAAGCUGUGAGGAAGGGGGGGACGACGUCAAAUCAGCACGGCCUUUAUGUCUGGGGUGACACACGUGUUUCAAUGGCGGGGACAGCGGGAAGCCACCUGGGGACAGGGAGCGGAACCCGAAACCCCGUGUCAGUUCGGAUUGGAGUCUGUAACCCGAGUCCAUGAAGCUGGAUUAGCUAGUAAUCGUGCAUCAGCCACGGCGCGGUGAAUAAGUUCCCGGGCCUUGCACACACCGCCCGUCA
rnacentral:rRNA from 1 species